rnacentral:rRNA from 1 species
GAUGAACGCUAGCUACAGGCUUAACACAUGCAAGUCGAGGGGCAGCAUGGUCUUAGCUUGCUAAGGCCGAUGGCGACCGGCGCACGGGUGAGUAACACGUAUCCAACCUGCCGUCUACUCUUGGACAGCCUUCUGAAAGGAAGAUUAAUACAAGAUGGCAUCAUGAGUCCGCAUGUUCACAUGAUUAAAGGUAUUCCGGUAGACGAUGGGGAUGCGUUCCAUUAGAUAGUAGGCGGGGUAACGGCCCACCUAGUCUUCGAUGGAUAGGGGUUCUGAGAGGAAGGCCCCCCACAUUGGAACUGAGACACGGUCCAAACUCCUACGGGAGGCAGCAGUGAGGAAUAGUGGUCAAGGGGCGAGAGCCUGAACCAGCCAAGUAGCGUGAAGGAUGACUGCCCUAUGGGUUGUAAACUUCUUUUAUAAAGGAAUAAAGUCGGGUAUGGAUACCCGUUUGCAUGUACUUUAUGAAUAAGGAUCGGCUAACUCCGUG